AUAUUAAAUAUUUUUUUCUUUUAUUUUAGUCGAUCAGACAGAGCCAGAGUCUUCGACGCCAAAGAGAGCUUGACUUGGUUUCCAUAACGAACACUUGGUAAUGCAGGAGGAAGGUGUUUACCUUGUAAAUACCGCAUAUAAAAACCGAAUUGCUACAUACCGGCUUUUAUC